UCAGAUGGCCGGAUGGCCGCUCACCUUCGGCCAUUGGCCCAAGGUGGGAGGAAAGUCCGGGCUCCACGGAAACACGGUGCCGGAUAACGUCCGGCGGAGGCGACUCCAGGGAAAGCGCAACAGAAAGCACACCGCCGACGGUUCGUCCGGGCAAGGUUGAAAUGGUGCGGUAAGAGCGCACCGCGGCUUCGGCAACGAAGACGGCAUGGCAAGCCCCACCGGGAGCAAGACCAAAUAGGGACGG
rnacentral:RNase_P_RNA from 1 species